rnacentral:rRNA from 1 species
UACGUAGGGUGCGAGCGUUGUCCGGAAUUACUGGGCGUAAAGAGCUCGUAGGUGGCCUGUCGCGUCGGCUGUGAAAACUCGGGGCUCAACUCCGAGCUUGCAGUCGAUACGGGCAGGCUAGAGUUCGGCAGGGGAGACUGGAAUUCCUGGUGUAGCGGUGAAAUGCGCAGAUAUCAGGAGGAACACCGGUGGCGAAGGCGGGUCUCUGGGCCGAUACUGACACUGAGGAGCGAAAGCGUGGGGAGCGAACAGG